rnacentral:rRNA from 1 species
UACGAGGGGGGGCGAGCGUUUGUUCGGAAUUACUGGGCGUAAAGCGCGCGUAGGCGGCUUUGUAAGUUAGAGGUGAAAGCCCGGGGCUCAACUCCGGAAUUGCCUUUAAGACUGCAUCGCUAGAAUUGUGGAGAGGUAAGUGGAAUUCCGAGUGUAGAGGUGAAAUUCGUAGAUAUUCGGAAGAACACCAGUGGCGAAGGCGAUUUACUGGACACAUAUUGACGCUGAGGUGCGAAAGCGUGGGGAGCAAACAGG